UCCACCGGAUUCCAGCAGGCCCCGCCUCCCGCCCCUGUUGCUAGGCAGAUUCCCCUGUUGCUAGGCCACCGCUGCUUCUUCCCUGCCUCAAAAAGAGGCACAAAUUCCUGGUGACCCGCUCAACCGUCCACCCACUCGCCCACGCACUGACAAAACAAGUGGGUUCUGAAUAUCUACCAUAUGUGAAUCCCGGUGCCCAGUAGAACGAUUCCAAACAGGAGAAGAGGCAGCGAAGCUAGAGGUGUCAGAUCUGGAGGUGACCAGUUGUUCCCGCGAUGAGUGGGUGGGCAACUCGUCAGCCUUGGAAGCCAAGCCCAGCCUCUUGAGUAUGCAUGUGGGUCUCGCCUCUGUGAAUAUGUAACAGCAAACAGGUGUGUAACAGCCUGGGGAGUGGGCAAGUGUGGAAAAACUUUUGGGAGAUUGGGGGAGAUGGGGGAUGACCCCAACUCUCUGCCUCAUACCAGCACUCUGCCCCAAAUAAUCCCACAACACACUGGCCACCCUGGAACCCUACUCCAAUGCGCACUGGUGUCCACAGUGGGGCCCUGAUAUCAGAGGAGGAGUCUGGGAAACAGAGCCUCAGGGCAGCCUGGUCUUUGCUCUCAGAUCCAGAGAUGACCAGGAUGGGCUCCUCAGAGCCAUGCCGUAGAAUUCCCCCCACUACCCCCUAAAGGUGGGAGCUGAGGGGGUGGCAUUCGAAGGGCCCAGGAUGGCCUGACGUGGAGGGGAGGGAGGGGCCAGACAGGAUGGGGGUCUCCAGCCAGCAGAGAGCCAUGGACAGAGGUGACUAAUUUCCCAACUACUCAUGGUGAAAAUAUCACAUUUCAUGCUUUGUUGCCGAUUCAUAGAAAAAUCCUAUUAAAACCGGGUGGAUUAUUUAUACAGUUUAAACAAAUGAUGAUCAAAGAUUUUACACGUUUUGAAGACAACCCAGAGUUACGCAGCCUGGCCUGGGGUUUAUCCAGGGUGUGGUAGACAAGCGUGAGGUCUGGAUAUCUAGCAGGAGGUAGGAGAGGGGUGCUGGUGAGUCAGGGGCAGGUUUAGACGGCCUGGCUGGGGGCGGGGUGGGGCGUUACAGCUGUUCUGCCCAGCAGGGGGCGCCCUCCCCAUGGUGCUGAUACCCUUCCUUCCCCCUCAUCAAAGCCUCAGACAGGCAAUGAUUUCGCCUCCCUUUUUGUCUGUUCACGGACUUGCCUUCAACUCCCCUGCAAGUGUCGUUGGCAGAAUUUCUGCUUGUGGAACUGUCAUCGCGUGGGACUGGGCCGUGCCCCUGAUGUGAACGACGCCAGCACUGUGUGCGACUGACUGACCGCCAGUCCAGCAUCUGCGCGUGGCUGGUUCCAGCAGUGACGCGCAUACCCAGGGCCUGUGCAGCUAGCUAAGGCGCAAGACCCGGCCGCGGGAAAUGCGAUCGUCUCAUCGUGGAGACCCUAGUUUGUUUGUUUUCCUCCCGGACUCUCUCCUUCCCACACCCCCUUCCCUUUCUUGUUUUGGCGAGAGAAAACAGGCCACACUAGGGAACCUGCAACAGCAGUGAGUAGAACAAUCACGUGUGACUGGAGCAUCCAUCACGGCCUGGUCCUUCAGCCCGGCCCGGCCCGGAGAAGCCUCCACCCUGGCUGCUGCCUUCGCCGCGGCCCGCGCUUUAUUAGAAUUUAUACGUUGCCCCGAUUGAGGGGGAAAAUAAUUAACACCCCUACAAAUAUAUCGUAAACAAAAUAUUUAUUAGAAAUAAAUAACUCAUUUAUUUUACAUAUUUCAUUUCAACAAUAACAUUACCCAAUUUAUCAUUUAACAUUUUUGCAAGACAACUUAACGACUACUUAUUAGCAUUUCCAUUUUUCACCCGCGCACCAUAAAGCACGGGCGCUCCCCACAUGGCCUGGCACAGGCCGAGCCUGGAGCUCAGAAGACCCCGGGGAGGGCUGGGGACCCCCCGGAUCUCCCUCUCUCUUACACAUUUGAACACAUGCAGGACAAACAUCCCAUAACCAGUACAUGUAGGCCCCCUCAA